UGCCCAACAACUCUUAUCCCUACCUCUUCACGGUACUGUCCGGGGUAUGAGUAGCCUUAGGGAAGAUCAGGUAACCAGCCCCGUUGGGAAUUCUGGUCGUAUGCUGACAGGGAAG
rnacentral:ribozyme from 1 species